rnacentral:siRNA from 1 species
GAUGACUAUGGUGUUUAUCAUC